rnacentral:siRNA from 1 species
AUAGAAUCACGGUGAACGGCUCA